UGUUUAUGGAUUUUAGUCCCCCAUACUUAGUGAUUUUGGAGUUUACUUUGAACUGAAGGCCCACUACAGAAAAAUUUGGCCUUUGUCCAUUCCACUAUAGUUCUAGGGAAGUUUACAAUGAAGAUUUGGCCCAACAUGAAGACAUUAGGCCCUUUUAUGUUACCUCUAGGGAAAGUGACGUUUUUGCAAUGCCUUGGUGGAUUUCUUGAGGUCUCUACAUCUACAUGUGCUCUGCUAGGUUUUUAGGACACUUUGAUAAAUCCUUACCCUUCAUUUCUUAAAACCUUGAGCCUUGGCCCCAUUACAACCCUAAAUAAGACCUUCUUGAUCCUUAAGAUGGGACAGCCUUUGAUUUGUGGAGAUGAGUUACAAGAGUUGAACCUAUGGCUUGGGUCCAUCCGUGCAAGUAGUUGAUAUCCUUCAUGAGAUCUUUUAAAAAAAAAAUUUAUAUUCACAAAGUGCUUUUCGUUUCUUAUAUAUGUGAGCUAUUUGAUUGCCUCAAAAUAUUUUCUCUCACAUAUAAUUGAGUGAUUAUAAGCUUUUAAGCAUUGUCUUGAAUUCUGAGAGAAGAAAGAGUGGAUAUACCUUGUGAGGAUAUGAAUCAUACUUGUUCGAAGCAUGCUUAACAGAAACCAUCACCAUUAUUACAACCAAGUCCUACUUGUGUAUUGUGAUUUUGCUAAGGGACUAGCAAAAGCUAAGUGUGGGGGAAUUUGAUAGGAGCAUUUUAAUGCGACGUUUUAACUGCAUUUCCCUACAUUUCUUACGUUAUUUCCUUAUUAAAAUCCUGUUUAGGAAAGUUUCCAUUCUUUGAUUGGGAAAGUUCCUAUUUGUAGAAAGUUUAUAUUUUUGUAGUUUCUAUUUAUCAUUUUUAGACCUCCAAGCAAGUGGAAAAUCUUGAGGAGGAAAAUCAAAGUUGCAACCAAGUGGAAAAUCUUGAGGAGGAAAAUCAAAGUUGCAACCAAGUGGAAAAUCUUGAGGAGGAAAAUCAAAGUUGCAAGGAAGUGGAAAAUCUUGAGGAGGAAAAUCAAAGUUGCAACCAAGUGGAAAAACUUGAGGAGGAAAAUCAAUUCAAGUUGAACAAGUGAUAAACAUGUGGGAAGAUAUUUUUUACAAAUUUGUCUAACAUAUCUAGCCCUU
rnacentral:lncRNA from 1 species